rnacentral:rRNA from 1 species
AUUGAACGCUGGCGGCAGGCCUAACACAUGCAAGUCGAGCGGAUGAAGGGAGCUUGCUCCUGGAUUCAGCGGCGGACGGGUGAGUAAUGCCUAGGAAUCUGCCUGGUAGUGGGGGAUAACGUCCGGAAACGGGCGCUAAUACCGCAUACGUCCUGAGGGAGAAAGUGGGGGAUCUUCGGACCUCACGCUAUCAGAUGAGCCUAGGUCGGAUUAGCUAGUUGGUGGGGUAAAGGCCUACCAAGGCGACGAUCCGUAACUGGUCUGAGAGGAUGAUCAGUCACACUGGAACUGAGACACGGUCUAGACUCCUACGGGAGGCAGCAGUGGGGAAUAUUGGACAAUGGGCGAAAGCCUGAUCCAGCCAUGCCGCGUGUGUGAAGAAGGUCUUUGGAUUGUAAAGCACUUUAAGUUGGGAGGAAGGGCAGUAAGUUAAUACUUUGCUGUUUUGACGUUACCAACAGAAUAAGCACCGGCUAACUUCGUG